AUACUUACCUAGUAUAGGGAUACCGUGAUCAUGCAGGCGGUUCCCCGGGGUGCGGCUGCUCCAUUGCACUGCGGAGUAGUGCGGAGUGGUUGACCCUUGCGAUUAUUUUUAUAUUUUAUAAGUUUCACUUGGACCGUGUGUGACUAGUGACUUGCACACACACACA